GACGAACGCUGGCGGCGUGCUUAACACAUGCAAGUCGAACGGAAAGGCCCUGCUUUUGUGGGGUGCUCGGGUGGCGAACGGGUGAGUAACACGUGAGUAACCUGCCCUUGACUUUGGGAUAACUUCAGGAAACUGGGGCUAAUACCGGAUAGGAGCUCCUGCUGCAUGGUGGGGGUUGGAAAGUUUCGGCGGUUGGGGAUGGACUCGCGGCUUAUCAGCUUGUUGGUGGGGUAGUGGCUUACCAAGGCUUUGACGGGUAGCCGGCCUGAGAGGGUGACCGGCCACAUUGGGACUGAGGUACGGCCCAGACUCCUACGGGAGGCAGCAGUGGGGAAUAUUGCACAAUGGGCGGAAGCCUGAUGCAGCAACGCCGCGUGCGGGAUGACGGCCUUCGGGGUGUAAACCGCUUUCGCCUGUGACGAAGCGGGAGUGACGGUAAUGGGUAAAGAAGCACCGGCUAACUACGUG
rnacentral:rRNA from 1 species